rnacentral:rRNA from 1 species
CCUACGGGUGGCUGCAGUGAGGAAUAUUGGUCAAUGGAGGCAACUCUGAACCAGCCACGUCGCGUGAAGGAUGAAGGUCUUAUGGAUUGUAAACUUCUUUUGCAGGGGAAUAAAUAGCGGUACGUGUACCGUUUUGCAUGUACCCUGCGAAUAAGGAUCGGCUAACUCCGUGCCAGCAGCCGCGGUAAUACGGAGGAUCCGAGCGUUAUCCGGAUUUAUUGGGUUUAAAGGGUGCGCAGGCGGGAGAUUAAGUCGGCGGUGAAAUUUUGCAGCUCAACUGUAAAAGUGCCUUCGAUACUGGUUUCCUUGAGUGUGGAUGAAGUAGGCGGAAUUUGUGGUGUAGCGGUGAAAUGCUUAGAUAUCACGAGGAACUCCGAUUGCGCAGGCAGCUUACUAAACCACUACUGACGCUCAGGCACGAAGGCGUGGGGAUCAAACAGGAUUAGAUACCCCUGUAGUC